UACGGAGGGUGCAAACGUUGCUCGGAAUCAUUGGGCGUAAAGCGCACGUAGGCGGUCGGCUAUGUCGGAUGUGAAAGCCUCGGGCUUAACCCGAGAAGGGCAUCCGAAACUGGCCGGCUUGAGUACGGAAGAGGGUCUCGGAAUUCCCGGUGUAGAGGUGAAAUUCGUAGAUAUCUGGAGGAACACCGGUGGCGAAGGCGGCAUCCUGGACCAACACUGACGCUGAGGAGCGAAAGCCAGGGGAGCAAACGGG
rnacentral:rRNA from 1 species